UACAGAGGUCUCAAGCGUUGUUCGGAUUCAUUGGGCGUAAAGGGCUCGUAGGCGGCCAACUAAGUCAGACGUGAAAUCCCUCGGCUUAACCGGGGAACUGCGUCUGAUACUGGAUGGCUUGAGUUUGGGAGAGGGAUGCGGAAUUCCAGGUGUAGCGGUGAAAUGCGUAGAUAUCUGGAGGAACACCGGUGGCGAAGGCGGCAUCCUGGACCACCUCUGACGCUGAGGCGCGAAAGCCAGGGGAGCAAACGGG
rnacentral:rRNA from 1 species